CGGAAUCCGAAAAUUCCGCGCUGUAAUGAUCCAUAUAGGGAUCCUCAUAUUCUUCCUCCACACUCCGGUCCGAAUCGGACGAAUCCCCAUGGGCACGUGCCCGUUUCCAAGUUCUGGCCGAUUUUGCCCGGCCAGGGGCUCUAGUGCGCGGUGGUAUCGCGCCAUCUUUGACAGCCUGAAGCGUGUCAUUCGAUGCAGGCUGAACCUGCAGUUCUGGAGGGGAGGUUACAUGUCUGCUUUUUGCUAACGCCUUACGUCCCGGUUGAGCCACGUUAGUGGGUACCGGGUUGCGUGUGUUCUGCAUGCCACUAGUCUGUGUCUGUAUCAAUGCCUCUGUUAUAGACUGAGUGAUAGAGGACGACAUGACCCCCAUCGCAGAGGUCAAAGCUUUGUUAAUGGAUUGUGCCAUGGUAACGUCCAGGAGGGACUGAAACUCCUCAGAUGCCAUGAGGCUGGCGUCACUUUUACUUCCCUUGUUAGAGGGGGAAACGCCUGAUGUGGGGCACAUGGACCCUGAAGGUCUGUCACUCUGGUCCUGCAUAGCAG